rnacentral:rRNA from 1 species
CAGCAGCCACGGUAAAACGUAGGUGGCAAGCGUUGUCCGGAAUUAUUGGGCGUAAAGGGCUCGCAGGCGGUUUCUUAAGUCUGAUGUGAAAGCCCCCGGCUCAACCGGGGAGGGUCAUUGGAAACUGGGAAACUUGAGUGCAGAAGAGGAGAGUGGAAUUCCACGUGUAGCGGUGAAAUGCGUAGAGAUGUGGAGGAACACCAGUGGCGAAGGCGACUCUCUGGUCUGUAACUGACGCUGAGGAGCGAAAGCGUGGGGAGCGAACAGGAUUAGAUACCCCCGUAGUCCCUGUCUCUUAUAC